UACGUAGGUGGCAAGUGUUGUCCGGAUUUACUGGGCGUAAAGGAUGCGUAGGCGGAUAUUUAAGUCAGAUGUGAAAUACCCGGGCUCAACUUGGGUGCUGCAUUUGAAACUGGAUAUCUAGAGUGCGGGAGAGGUAAGUGGAAUUCCUAGUGUAGCGGUGAAAUGCGUAGAGAUUAGGAAGAGCACCAGUGGCGAAGGCGACUUACUGGACCGUAACUGACGCUGAGGCAUGAAAGCGUGGGGAGCAAACAGG
rnacentral:rRNA from 1 species